ACGAACGCUGGCGGCAUGCCUCACACCUGCAAGUCGAACGAGACCUUCGGGUCUAGUGGCGCACGGGUGCGUAACGCGUGGGAACCUGCCUUUAGGUUCGGAAUAACUCAGAGAAAUUUGAGCUAAUACCGGAUGAUGUCUUCGGACCAAAGAUUUAUCGCCUUUAGAUGGGCCCGCGUUGGAUUAGCUAGUUGGUGGGGUAAAGGCCUACCAAGGCGACGAUCCAUAGCUGGUCUGAGAGGAUGAUCAGCCACACUGGGACUGAGACACGGCCCAGACUCCUACGGGAGGCAGCAGUGGGGAAUAUUGGACAAUGGGCGAAAGCCUGAUCCAGCAAUGCCGCGUGAGUGAUGAAGGCCUUAGGGUUGUAAAGCUCUUUUACCCGAGAUGAUAAUGACAGUAUCGGGAGAAUAAGCUCCGGCUAACUCCGUG
rnacentral:rRNA from 1 species